UUGCUUUGGCAGCAUAUAUACUAAAAUUGGAACAAUGAUACAGAGAAGAUUAGCAUGGCCCCUGAGCAAGGAUGACAGGCAAUUUUGCAAAGCAUUCCAUAUUUAA